GUCCACGCUGUAAACGAUGUAUGCUAGUUGUUGGCCCUUUGGGGCCAGUGAUGCAGUUAACGCAGUAAGCAUACCACCUGGGGAGUACGUCGGCAACGAUGAAACUCAAAGGAAUUGACGGGGGCCCGCACAAGCGGUGGAGCAUGUGGCUUAAUUCGAUGCAACGCGAGGAACCUUACCUGGGCUAAAUCCACAGUGCAACCUCCCGAAAAGGAGGGUCCCUUCGGGGCACUAUGGAAGGUG
rnacentral:rRNA from 1 species